rnacentral:misc_RNA from 1 species
ACAAAUCCGUCCAUUGCUGCUGCUGCUCGCCCUCUGCGCAAGCGGGGAGGGAGCGGGGCACAUUUGUCCCGUGUGUGCACUUGUGCAUGCACUGCGAUACAUUUCUGCGAAUCGUCUGAUUGCUUUGAAAGUGACAGUGAGAA